CGGCGCCUUCACCCGGGCGAAGAUGUUAUACAUGCUUUAGAAGUAAUCUCAACAGCUUUCUCAGUGAGGAAAUCAAGUGGGUGUUUGAAUCGGUCAUGAGUGGGAUUCUUUUCUCCUGUUCAUCAGGUCAGUGACUCUUUCAGUCUCUGGGUCAGUGUUUAAAUCAACAAACCCCCUUUUUUUGGCACCAAAAUUCUCUCAUCUGUCCUUCAUCAGGUUAGUGUUCAAAUCAAAAGUCUUUUGGCUAUAACUGAGAUUCAUUCUUUCUCGUCCAGCAGGUCGGAAAAUCAGAACCUUUCUGUCCUCACUGGGAUCUGAUCUUCUGUCUUUCAGCAGGUCUGAUUUCAAUCAAAUAAAAAAGUUGUGAGGAAAGGGCACUCAAAACAGUUCAGAACAAUUGGUUUUUAUUAACUUUUGUGUUCCUUCCUGUACAAUUUACACAAAUUUCAAAUCCCCAGGAAAAUCUUAAUCCAUGGAAAUACACAAAAUUGCAGGAAAGCCCAGGGUGAUGUGAUGAUGUUCAUAUUGCUAUUUCUGCUGGAGAUGAUGUCUGUUGCUUCAGUAACAACAUUCAUUCUCUCUGUAUGAGAUCCUGUGUGUGAUGCAGCGCUCUGUUCUACUGCACUUCUCUAUAAUACUGAUGGUUUCUAUAGACGUGGCAUCAUUAUGAUGGUAUUUAGAUGUGGAUUGAUUCAGGAAGAACACCGCUGAAGGCCUGGAGGUGAAAUACACGGCCAGAUACUGCAUGAAAAUAAUCCACAACAUCGUAGCAGUCACAGAGAUUCUUCAUUCGUCAUUCUACAUCAUAAACAGUGCAGUUUAUGCUCCAAUUAAGAUCCUCUGACCAACGCUGUCAGAAAGAGGAUCGAGGCCUUGGCGAGCAAAAAGCAGCAGGAAAAUACACACAGCAAUAAAAAUGACCACAGUGAGAUAAAGCAGAAUUUUGAAGUUCGGAAGAAAUCAGUGUGGUGAUCGGAUCAGCUUCAGGUAUUCGUCUCAGUGAUCAAAGAAAUCUAAUGAUUUCCUGUGUACAAUCCAUACAAACAUCUGGAACCCUGCAUUUUUAUUAUUUUUAUUCAACUGAGUUGAUUUUGUGUUUCAAAGCAACAUUAAUAAUUCACUUUCUUAAUCUGUUAAUAAAUGAUUAACUGUGAGUUCAAACAUUACAGUCAAAAUGCUGGAGCUUUACAUGUGAACACAUACACACCACAUCUCCACACCACAUCUGUACACAUCAGUACACAUCUCCAUACCACAUCAGUACACAUCUCCAUACCACAUCUGUACACAUCAGUACACAUCUCCAUACCACAUCAGUACACAUCUCCAUAUCACAUCAGUACACAUCUCCAUACCACAUCUGUACACAUCAGUACUCAUCAGUACACAUCUCCAUACCACAUCUGUACACAUCAGUACUCAUCAGUACACAUAUCCAUACCAUAUCUGUACACAUCAGUACACAUCUCCAUACCACAUCAGUACACAUCUCCAUAUCACAUCAGUACACAUC